rnacentral:rRNA from 1 species
UACGUAGGGUCCGAGCGUUAAUCGGAAUUACUGGGCGUAAAGCGUGCGCAGGCGGUUCGCAAAGACAGGUGUGAAAGCCCCGGGCUCAACCUGGGAAUGGCAAUGGAUACUGGCAAGCUAGAGUGCGGUAGAGGGUAGUGGAAUUCCCGGUGUAGCGGUGAAAUGCGUAGAGAUCGGGAGGAACACCAGUGGCGAAGGCGGCUACCUGGACCAGCACUGACACUGAGGCACGAAAGCGUGGGAGCAAACAGG